CUGAGAUCGUGCCACUGCACUCCAGCCUGGCAACAGAGUGAGACUCCGUCAAAAAAAAAGAAAAACCAUCGAGAUCCUGUCAAGGUACUCGUGUUACAUUUUCUUAUGCCUCUUCAGUUUCCUUUAAUCUAAAACAGCGCCCCGCCCUCAUCUCCUUUUCCACCAUGAACACUGAGUUUCUGGCAAGGCGGGGUUGUGGUGUAGGCUGCUUCACUUUCUGGAUUGAUUUGUCAGGGCUGCCUUUGUUGCUUUGUUUCCCAGAGAGCUCUGCGGAGGUUUGGAGCCAGGGCGAGUUGGCCUGAGGGUCUGCCCUGCUGAGGGUCCUACAGCCUCAGUUACUCUGUCAAGUAGCCGAAGCAGAGAGGGAAGGCAGCAUAUGUCAGCGUUUUCUUCUCUGCACUUGUAAGAAAGAUCGAAGACUUUAAGACUUUCACUAUUUCUUCUACCGCUAUCUACUGCGCUCUUCAAAGAGGAACCAGGAGUACGGGAGGAGCAUGAAAGUGGACAAGGAGUGGGACCAUUGAAGCACAGCACCACAGGGAAGGGUUUAAGCCUCCGGAUGACUGCGCGCAGGCCUGGAUAAUAUCCAGCCUUCCACAAGAAGCUGGUGGAGCAGAGUGUUCCCCAACUCUUCCAAGGAAAGGAGACUCCCUUUCGCGGUCUGCUAAUUAACGGGUGCAUUCCCAGACACUGGCGUUACCACUUGACCAAGGAGCCCUCAAGCGGCCCUUAUGUGGGCGUGACAGAGGGCUCACCUCUUGCCUUCCAGGUCACUUCUCACAAUGUCCCUUCAGCACCUGACCCUAUACCCACCGGUUAUUCCUAGGUUAUAUUAGUAAUGCAACAAAGAGUAAUAUUAAAAGCUAAAGAUUAAUAGUGA